rnacentral:rRNA from 1 species
AGUAACGGCGAGUGAAGCGGCAACAGCUCAAAUUUGAAAUCUGGCUUCUCGGAGCCCGAGUUGUAAUUUGUAGAGGAUGUUUCGGGUACCGCUGCGGCUUAAUUUUCUUGGAACAGAAUGUCAGAGAGGGUGAGAGUCCCGUCUGGAGCCGCGGUAGGGCCUAUGUGAAACUCCUUCGACGAGUCGAGUUGUUUGGGA